rnacentral:ncRNA from 1 species
AGUCUUCGGGGCUGGGUGAAAUUCCCGACCGGCGGUCAAGUCCGCGACAGGCAGUGCGUCUGCCUGUGAUCCGGUGUGAUUCCGGAACCGACAGUAAAGUCUGGAUGGGAGAAGA